rnacentral:rRNA from 1 species
AAGUCGUAACAAGGUUUCCGUAGGUGAACCUGCGGAAGGAUCAUUAUCGUAGGGCUUCGGCCCUGUCGAGAUAGAACCCUUGCCUUUAUGAGUACCGUCCGUUUCCUCGGCAGGCCCGCCUGCCGAUGGACCCAAAACCAAACCCUUUUAUUACCUGUAUCAGUCUGAAAAAUAAACAAAAAUUAAAACUUUCAACAACGGAUCUCUUGGUUCUGGCAUCGAUGAAGAACGCAGCGAAAUGCGAUAAGUAGUGUGAAUUGCAGAAUUCAGUGAAUCAUCGAAUCUUUGAACGCACAUUGCGCCCUUUGGUAUUCCUUAGGGCAUGCCUGUUCGAGCGUCAUUUAAACCUUCAAGCUCAGCUUGGUGUUGGGUGUCUGUCCCGCCUCGGCGCGGACUCGCCUUAAAUUCAUUGGCGGCCGGUACAUUGGCUUCGAGCGCAGCAGAAACGCGAACUCGUUGACAAUGGAUUGGCUCCCAGAAGCUACUUUCUAUUUUUGACCUCGGAUCAGGUAGGGAUACCCGCUGAACUUAAGCAUAUCAAUAAGCGGAGGAAAAGAAACCAACAGGGAUUGCCUUAGUAACGGCGAGUGAAGCGGCAACAGCUCAAAUUUGAAAUCUGGCUCCUUCGGGGCCCGAGUUGUAAUUUGUAGAGGGUGCUUUGGUGUUGGCUGUGGUCUAAGUUCCUUGGAACAGGACGUCACAGAGGGUGAGAAUCCCGUACGUGGUCGCCAGCUAACACCGUGUAAAGCCCCUUCGACGAGUCGAGUUGUUUGGGAAUGCAGCUCUAAAUGGGAGGUAAAUUUCUUCUAAAGCUAAAUAUUGGCCAGAGACCGAUAGCGCACAAGUAGAGUGAUCGAAAGAUGAAAAGCACUUUGGAAAGAGAGUCAAAAAGCACGUGAAAUUGUUGAAAGGGAAGCGCUUGCAGCCAGACUUGCCUGUAGUUGCUCAUCCGGGCUUAAUUGCCCGGUGUAUUCUUCUAUGGGCAGGCCAGCAUCAGUCCGGGCGGUUGGAUAAAAGCCUGCUAAAUGUACCUCUCCUCGGGGAGGACUUAUAGGGCAGGUGGCAUGCAACCAGCCUGGAUUGAGGUCCGCGCAUCAUGUGCUAGGAUGCUGGCGUAAUGGCUGUAAGCGGCC